AUUGAACGCUGGCGGCAUGCCUUACACAUGCAAGUCGAACGGUAACAGGUCUUCGGAUGCUGACGAGUGGCGAACGGGUGAGUAAUACAUCGGAACGUGCCUAGUAGUGGGGGAUAACUACUCGAAAGAGUGGCUAAUACCGCAUGAGAUCUACGGAUGAAAGCAGGGGAUCGCAAGACCUUGCGCUACUAGAGCGGCCGAUGGCAGAUUAGGUAGUUGGUGGGAUAAAAGCUUACCAAGCCGACGAUCUGUAGCUGGUCUGAGAGGACGAUCAGCCACACUGGGACUGAGACACGGCCCAGACUCCUACGGGAGGCAGCAGCGGGGAAUUUUGGACAAUGGGCGCAAGCCUGAUCCAGCAAUGCCGCGUGCAGGAUGAAGGCCUUCGGGUUGUAAACUGCUUUUGUACGGAACGAAAAGCCCCGGGUUAAUACCCUGGGGUCAUGACGGUACCGUAAGAAUAAGCACCGGCUAACUACGUGCCAGCAGCCGCCGUAA
rnacentral:rRNA from 1 species